AUGCCCAAAGGAUGAUAGUAAGCUUACUGUGACAUAACUCCCGGAGCCGCAGCACGAGCCUUGUGAACCUUGGAAGCCCGUUUUCCGCGCAGUCACUAACUCGCUUAGUCACCCUGUGUAAAAGUUAUUCUGGGAUGACACCUGCCUGGGAAGUCUCACCUUUCCCCCCACCUCCUCCUGUCUGCGUAUUGUUCUGUAGCACCCCGUGCGCACCUUGAUUGUAGCGCUUAAGCAAGGCAAUUUACUUCUAUAGAAGGGUGCGCCCUCACAGAUGGAGCAAUGGUCAGCUGGUGAUGCAGUUGCAGCCAGGAAUGAGUGAGCACCAGCCUGGGAACAUUUAUUCAGCGAAGGUGGUGGAGGAUGGGCCCCUGCAGGCUGGUUUCCUACGUGAGGCUGAUGCUGUCAUGGUUUCCCUGAGGUCAGUGGGAGCUUGCUCUCACUCAAUGGAUUCUCCACACGGUCCCCACUCCCCGCGACACCUUGACUUUUGGACCAAGUCUAAACUCCAUAGUGUGGCUUAGAAGGCCCUUCACAGGAUGACUGACCCCUGUGGAACUACUCAGGAUUCUUUGUUGCAGCCAAGAAAAGCCAAUUCUUGUUGAUUAAGCAGAAAAGGAGUCUUUUUGGAAAGAUAUCAAGUAACUCAUAGAAUUGUCCAGAAGGCUAAGGAACUGGCUUGGAAAAACAACAGAAGCUCAGGGAGGAGAGAUAAAGACUUUGGGAGCAAAGAUGAGGUUCGGAGAAAGGUUUACUGUCAAGCAAGGAAUCUGAUCUGACCCAGAGAACUUCAGUUCUGGGGAUGAGGCCCUAAGAAUCCGGUCUCCGUCAGGAAAGCAGUCUGUGGGCUCUGGAGCGACCUGGGAUCUGGAGUGAGUUUCACAAAUGGAUAAGCCAGAAGGAAGGCAUUCCUGGCAGAUACGAGAGCAUAUGCAAGCUGCGCACCUAACACAGUAGCCACUAGCCGUGGCUGUUUAAAAUUAAAUGGAAGGCCAGGUGUGGUGGCUUAUGCCUGUAA
rnacentral:lncRNA from 1 species